rnacentral:tRNA from 8 species
GGCCCCUUGGUCAAGCGGUUAAGACACCGCCCUUUCACGGCGGUUACGGGGGUUCGAAUCCCCCAGGGGUCACCA